rnacentral:tRNA from 1 species
GCCUGGGUGGCUCAGUCGGUUGAGCGUCCGACUUCGGCUCAGGUCAUGAUCUCACGCUCCGUGCGUUCGAGCCCCGCCACGGGCU